GGACCCGGCUCGCGCGGGUCCACUAGGCGGGAGGCGGCGCGGCGCGGCCCGGCUUAGCUGCGCCUCCUCCCUGCCGCCCACCCGGCGAAGACGCGAGAAGGAAAAAAAAAAUUAUGGAAACUUGAAAAGUCAGAAGGGCAGUUAUAAGGUGUAACUUGAUACCAACCUUUCUGGAAAUCAGUAUAGCAGUGAAUGUCAGAAGCUUUAAAACAAACAGAAACUACCUGAAACCACCUUGAAUUUGUGGUGCAGCUCUACUAAAGAUGAUUAUGCCGUAAGAAGGCAAUGACACUGGAGCGUCCCGGGUGGCUCAGUGGUAAAGAAUCUCCCUGCCAGAGCAGGAGACACGGGUUCAAUCCCUGGUCCGGGAAGAUCCCACAUGCCACGGAGCGACUGAGCCCAUGUGCCACAACUACUGAGCCCGUGCUCUACAACAAGAGAAGCCACUGCAAAGAGAAGCCCACUCACCACAACCAGAGGAAAGCCUGUGCAGCAAGGAAGACCCAGCACAGCCAAAAAUAAAUGAAUAAAAAUUUUUUAAAAUGCAAUGACACUAGCAAAUGUGUAUGUCUUAAUGUUAAGCAAAACAGCAGGCUGCAAAGCUACAUGUACAAUAAAAAGCUCAAUUAUGAAAGUACAAAAUGAAUAAAAGACUAGAAAGAAAUAUGCCAGAAAUUUGUUGGACUUGCUUCUAAUUAGUAGAGAUUUAUUUUAUUAUUUUUAAAGAUUCUGUUAAAAAUGUUUUUGCAAUAAGCAUAUAGCACUCUGAUAAUG
ensembl:lncRNA